rnacentral:rRNA from 1 species
AUGGCAUCUUCUCAGCGUAGUGGAGUACGUACUCCCUUUCAGGAUGUGACAAACAAUAGCAAUUCAGGUAAAUAUACAGUUAUCACCUACUCUUGCCUACUUAUAUCUUGUAAAUCCAGCAUAUGUCAUUGCCCCGCAGGUCAACCAACAGAUCCAAAAGAGCGGAAGAGACAAAGGGAAAGGGAGAGGUAUGCACUAAAUAGGGAUGCAAUAUUAAAAAAACGACAAGAGGCAAGGGAUCAUAAGAAGGCUACCACCGCUAUUGUAACUGGAACCAACACUCCAUCAAAGCCAUCCGGGGCCAUGUCACCUGGUUACUCCAUUUUACCUGUCCUUUAUCAUGCAUGUCGUGAAUGA